UGGUUAAAUUAAUAAGGGCAUAUGAGGAAUGACUUGGUACUAAAAGUUGAUGAAGGACGUGACGAACAACGAUAUGCUUCGGGGAGCUGUAAGUAGCUUUGAUCCGGAGAUUUCCGAAUGGGGUAACCCACUAGUGGUAAUGCGCUAGUAUCAUAUAGUAAAUUCAUAGCUAUAUAGAGAGUAACCUGGUGAACUGAAACAUCUAAGUAACCAGAGGAAAAGAAAGAAAAAUCGAUUUCCCUAGUAGUGGCGAGCGAAAAGGAAAGAGCCCAAACCAAUCUUCGGAUUGGGGUUGUAGGACCUUUUUAUAAGAGUAAAAAAAUAAUUGUAUAGUUUAAUUGUUUGGAAAGACAAACCAGAGAAGGUGAUAGUCCUGUGAGCGAAAUACAUUUAUCUCUUUAAGGUAUCCUGAGUACGGCGAGACACGUGAAAUCUUGUCGGAAUCCACGGGGACCAUCCCGUAAGGCUAAAUACUCUUUAGUAACCGAUAGUGAACAAGUACCGUGAGGGAAAGUUGAAAAGAACCCCGGAAGGGGAGUGAAAUAGAUACUGAAAUCAUAUGCUUACAAAAAGUCAAAGCCCGUUAAUGGGUGAUGGCGUGCCUUUUGCAGAAUGAACCGGCGAGUUACGAUAUCAUGCAAGGUUAAGUUGAAUAGACGGAGCCGAAGCGAAAGCGAGUCUUAAUAGGGCGAGUUAGUAUGGUGUCGUAGACCCGAAACCAAGUGAUCUAGCCAUGAGCAGGUUGAAGGUUGGGUAAAACCAAUUGGAGGACCGAACCGAUGUACCCGGAAACGUGCUCGGAUGACUUGUGGCUAGCGGAGAAAUUCCAAUCGAACUUGGAUAUAGCUGGUUCUCCCCGAAAUAGGUUUAGGCCUAGCCUCGAGAUAAUAGUUUAUUGAAGGUAGAGCACUGAAUAAAUGAUGGCUACACAUAGUGGUACUGAAUUUAAUCAAACUCCGAAUGUCAGUAAAUGUUUCUCGGGAGUCAGCGUAUGGGUGAUAACGUCCAUGCGCGAGAGGAAAAGAGUCCAGAUCGCCAGUUAAGGUCCCAAAAUUUAUACUAAGUGGGAAAGGUUGUGGAGUUGUCAAAACAGCUAGGAGGUUUGCUUAGAAGCAGCAAUCCUUUAAAGAGUGCGUAAUAGCUCACUAGUCGAAUGACACUGCGCCGAAGAUGUACCGGGGCUAAGUAUAAUACCGAAACUGCGAAUAUAAUUUUUUUAAAUUAUAUGGUAGGGGAGCGUUCUAAGCGCGCAGAAGAUAGAUCGUGAGGACUAUUGGAGUGCUUAGAAGUGAGAAUGCCGGUGUGAGUAGCGCAAGAUAGGUGAGAAUCCUAUCCACCGAUUGACUAAGGGUUCCUGGGCCAGGUUCGUCCUCCCAGGGUAAGUCAGGACCUAAGAUGAGGCUGAGAAGCGUAGUCGAUGGACAACAGGUUGAUAUUCCUGUACCACUUAUAUAACAGAUGGAAUGACAAAGAAGGCUAGAUUGAGCCAGUUAUUGGAUUCUGGUCUAAGCACAAAGACUGAUAUAUUGGCAAAUCCGUAUAUCGUUCAGUUGAAGUGUGAUGGCGAAGAAAACUUCGGUUUUUUAAGUCGAUUGAAGCCAAGCUUUCAAGAAAAGUUUCUAUGGUUAAUUAUAUAAGUGCCUGUACCGAGAACCGACACAGGUAGUCAAGAAGAGAAUUCUAAGGUGAGCGAGAGAACUAUGGUUAAGGAACUCGGCAAAAUGACCCCGUAACUUAGGGAUAAGGGGUGGUCUAGAGAUAGACCCACAGUAAAGAGUCCCAGGCAACUGUUUACCAAAAACACAGGUCUCUGCUAAGUCGUAAGACGAAGUAUAGGGGCUGACACCUGCCCGGUGCUGGAAGGUUAAGAGGAGAGCUUAGUGUAUGAAGUAAUUCAUUAUUACAAAGGUUUGAAUUGAAGCCCCAGUGAACGGCGGCCGUAACUAUAACGGUCCUAAGGUAGCGAAAUUCCUUGUCAGGUAAGUUCUGACCCGCACGAAUGGCGUAAUGAUCUGGGAGCUGUCUCAACCAUAGGCUCGGUGAAAUCUUAAUACCUGUGAAAAUGCAGGUUACCCGCGACAGGACGGAAAGACCCCGUGGAGCUUUACUGCAGUUUGACAUUGAAAUUUGAUUUGUUAUGUAGAGGAUAGGUGGGAAACUUUGAAGCUAGGACGCCAGUUUUAGUGGAGUUAACCUUGGAAUACCACCCUUAACAAUUUGGGUUUCUAACCUCGAGCCAUGAUCUGGUUCAGGAACAGUGUCUGAUGGGCAGUUUGACUGGGGCGGUCGCCUCCCAAAAAGUAACGGAGGCGCUCAAUGGUUCCCUCAGAAUGGUUGGAAAUCAUUCGUAGAGUGUAAAGAUAUAAGGGAGCUUGACUGCGAGACUUACAAGUCAAGCAGGUGCGAAAGCAGGACUUAGUGAUCAGGCGAUUCAGAAUGGAAUGGUCGUCGCUUAACGGAUAAAAGUUACCCCGGGGAUAACAGGCUUAUACCACCCAAUAGUUCAUAUAGACGGUGGUGUUUGGCACCUCGAUGUCGGCUCGUCUCAUCCUGGAGGUGGAUUCGCUUCCAAGGGUUGGGCUGUUCGCCCAUUAAAGAGGCACGCGAGCUGGGUUCAGAACGUCGUGAGACAGUUCGGUCCCUAUCCGUCGUGGGCGUAGGAAAAUUGAGGAGAUCUGACCUUAGUACGAGAGGACCAGGUUGGACACACCUCUGGUGUAUCUGUUGUCACGCCAGUGGCAGCGCAGAGUAGCUAUGUGUGGAAUAGAUAAUCGCUGAAAGCAUCUAAGCGAGAAACUAACUUCAAGAUGAGUUUUCCCAUAUUUUAUAUAGUAAGAUCCCAGUAAGACUAACUGGUUGAUAGGCUAGGAGUGGAAGCGUAGUGAUACGUUGAGCGGACUAGUACUAAUAGAUCGAGGAUUUAACCAUAUAAC
rnacentral:rRNA from 1 species